AUUCAGCUGACGAGUCCUAAAUAGGACGAAACGCGCGUCCUGAAU
rnacentral:hammerhead_ribozyme from 1 species